AAAAGGAGAUGGCUUUUAGAUUGGGUUUGAAGGAAGGGUUGAAUUUCAACUGGGAGGGCUGGAUUUUAGGAACUCUCUGGCUCCAGGAGUACCCUGGAGCAGCAGAGAGUCAUGAGUAAAAGCCCCCUGGAGAGAGCCUGGCCCGCCCUGGUGGCUCAGCGGUAAAGAAUCCACCUGCAAUUCAGGAGUUGUGGGUUCGAUCCCUGGGUCAGGAAGAUCCCCUGGAGAAGGAAAUGGCAACCCACUCCAGUAUUCUUACCUGGACAAUCCCAUGGGCAGAAGAGCUUCGAGGGCUAUAAUCCAUGGGGUGGCAAAAGAGUCGGACACGACUUAGUGACUAAACAACAACAACUCUUUGGCAAAGGGAACUAUGCUCAGUAUCUUAUAAUAAACUAUACGAGAAAAGAAUUUGAAAAAAGUGUGUAUAAC
ensembl:lncRNA